rnacentral:rRNA from 1 species
GGGGAAUAUUGCACAAUGGAGGAAACUCUGAUGCAGCGACGCCGCGUGAGUGAAGAAGUAUUUCGGUAUGUAAAGCUCUAUCAGCAGGGAAGAUAGUGACGGUACCUGACUAAGAAGCACCGGCUAAAUACGUGCCAGCAGCCGCGGUAAUACGUAUGGUGCAAGCGUUAUCCGGAUUUACUGGGUGUAAAGGGAGUGUAGGUGGCAUGGCAAGUCAGAAGUGAAAGCCCAGGGCUCAACCCUGGGACUGCUUUUGAAACUGCCGAGCUAGAGUGCAGGAGAGGUAAGUGGAAUUCCUAGUGUAGCGGUGAAAUGCGUAGAUAUUAGGAGGAACACCAGCGGCGAAGGCGGCUUACUGGACUGUAACUGACACUGAGGCUCGAAAGCGUGGGGAGCAAAC